GAACCUGGAUUUCUGGUCCUAGAGGCAACUUGUUAAUUACAACAUCUUCUUAAUAUCAUAAUUCAGAUCUCCCCAAACUGUGGCACUGUGACUUCAUAAAGUCAUAAGCAAAUUGGUGCAGCUUCUACUUUAAUAAAGUAAUAAUUUCAUUAGAAUUAGAUUAGGUAAGAAUUAAAUAUGCUUGUUGUUUUCAAUUGUUGAUAUAUUUUGCAGGUUCUCCUAUUUUGUGAAAGCUGCUCCCUGUGGGCUUACACAGCAAAGCCAAUAUUCUGCCAAAAUUAUCUCUGUCCCACUUUGUCUUUCCAAGCUUGUAACUUCUUGGGGAAAUGCAUUUUACCUCAGACAAGUACCGGCUAUUUGUCGGCUUAUAUCGAGGAGAAUUUCAGACAUGUUAUGAGUUUUAUAGUUGCUUUGUAGCCAUUAUAAAUGCACAAUUAUGGAUAUAGAAGAAAGUGUGCAAUAUCAUGAAUAUAGCAGAAGAUGUGUGUGUGGUGUGUAUUUUAAAAUAGAAUUUUUAACAAUGUAAUAAUUUCUUUUCCAGAUCGUGGGUCCUUCUGACGGUUCUAACUACAUAAUAGAUUAUUAUGGUGCAAGGCUUACCAGACUGAGUAUUACGAAUGAUACAUAUAGAAAACCUCAAAUGUACCCUUAAUCUUGCCAGAGUUCACUUUAUUUGAGUGUGAGAAGAUGUCUGUGUAUGAAAUGAUGGAAGAGCACCGUCUAUAGAGGACUGAGAAGUUUCAUCAACUCUUUUGUCAUCAGCUCUUUGUGCACAAAGGAAAAAUAGUUGGCUAUGUUAUUUUACACUCUGCUGACCGCACAAAAGGAGUUAGAGCCUUUGUGCCAACUGUAACCUUAUUGAAAAGAAGACAGUGACUUAUCUUUUAAAUUGUUUGGUAAAUAAAAGCAACCAAUGGACUUUUAAUGAUGAAUGCAUCAUGAACUACUGCGCAAAAAACUUUAUACAAGUUGUACAAAAACUGAAAAAGGUGUGCGGAUAUAAAGGGAAAAACAAGAAGCAAUUACCUCAGCACUCAACAUCCCUUUUCCUACUGCUAUUUAAAAAUGAGAAAAGGAGAAACCACAUACAAAAAUGUGUUGUUGUGCAGAUGUACCAGGUUCCAGCUCAUUCACUCCCUCCCUCGCUCCCUCACAUCAAGUACAUUCUGUCCUUUUGGCAAUAAGUUGAUGGGAUAUUUAGAAGCUGCGAACUGUUCUGAAAGUUUCACAUAGUGGGUUAUGGGCCAUGUGUGUUUGAUCAAAAUUCAAUUACUGCACUGCGCCAGUCUUGGAAACGUAUCAUGGCGAGUUAUGGAGUAUGACGAAAUAAGCUUCUCUAAUUGGUUCAGUAUGGGGAGCAGUCUCAACCAAGCUUGUUAUGAUAAAUAGCUUCCUAUGUUAAAGGUUCUCCAGAGCUUAAGUGUCUUGGCUCACCUCCUUCAAUAGAAUAAGAAUAUUGUUCCCUAGGAACAUUUACAUCAUUGUCUCUUUUCCCAGGUUGGAGUUAAAUAUUUGUAGCAUUUUUAUCUUGCUGUUCUUGAGGAAUGUAAACAUAAAUACAUGUCACUUCUCCAAUCAUAAAAUAUCUUGUGUCCCUAUACACAACUGGUUAUUGGUAAUGUCACUUUUGUCAGCUUGGAAGAUCUUAACUGUUGUUUAAAGUCAAAUCCACUUUACAAGCCCUUUAAAAAUUGAUGCUGAAUGCUCUGCAACUCCUAGCUUAGAUUUGCUGCUACUAAAAGAGUUCCAAACAUGGAUAUGUUUUUUUAGCAGAUUUCUGUUAUGGAAAUAAUCUCUGAUUAUCUUCUGGUAAGCAAACAAAGGUAGAACUAGAGAAGUCUCAAGCUACUAUACGUGUCUACAUUGUGGUGCUUCAUGUGCACAGAUGCCAUUUCACUUUGAGAAAAAGGUAUAAUGCAUAUUGUUUUUCUGCUUCUUUGGUUAAGAAACUAGAGAAAAAUAAGCCUUGUCCUUCCCUUUAGUAAUUUGUCUUGUGGAGCUCAAAUUAGUUAUCUGAAUAGAUCAUUUCUUUUUUCCUAUAGUAAUUUAAUACACUGUUAUCUGGGUUUCAUUUGUUUUAUGAGCUUUGAUCCCAUCAUAGUUUGCCUUUAUAUUUAAAUGUCCUCUUUAACCUUCUGCCAAAAGAUGUGUGUAACGCUGAAGUCGGCAUUUUCAUCAUGUACUACAUUUGCUGCAAAUUUCAAUUUUAUAAACCAUUCCCCUUAGUCAUCACUUAAUCAAGCGAUGACUAAGUGCAGCAAUAUAAAAUUAAAGGGAGGAAAACUUGAUACAAUAAACAUAAAAUCUACAUCCGAGUAAGAUAAGAAACACGCACUCCCAUUGUUUUUCAAAGUAGAACGGGAUCAAAUAUUUUAGAAUGGUUGAUAGGGAAAGAUACAUAAUGGAAAAUAUUGGGCAGAUGAUGCGGGGGGGGGUGUUAGAACAAAACUCAGAAGAAUAUUGUAUUACAUUUUUUAAUAACAAUUCCACAAGAAGUAACUUUACCUUUAAAAAUAGAAUAUGAUGGCAGGCAUUUAUGCUAAACCUCCUUCUGGCAAAUCAGCUUUUUUUUGUAUUGAAUCUCACUUGAUUGAAUAGCAUUGGGGUUGCCAGAGUAAAUGCUAUUAUCAAUGUACAGUAAUUAAGGAAAUAGUCCUUGUCACUCGAACAGCAUCCAGGCUGUGCCUGCUGUAAUAAAGUUAAAUGAUAAAGAAAUGUCUUUAAAUAAAGUGCAACUACUGGAGCGUAGUUACUCUUGAAAUGCAGUGGAAUAAUGCAGUGGAAAAUUACUGGUGAUAGGAAAAUAUGCCCAUUGAAUACAAUGUAAGGCUUCUUAAAUAUCUAAAUAGAUUACGUACAUAAUCUUCCAAUUUAAAGAUAAAGAUGUUAAUCCCUCAUAUCCAAAGAGCGAUAAGCUUGGAACAAGUUAAUCUAGUAUUUGAUCUUCAAAUUAUUAAUUAAUUGAAUCAUUAGAACCUAGAAAUGUUUUGAAACCUAUGUAUAAAGUGUACAAAUCAAGUGUUGUCAUAUGCUUAAGUUAAGAUCCUAUAUACAUUUUAUUAUAAAGUAUCAAUACCUUCAAUCUUAAGGCCAACUGAACGUGAUAUAAAUUAUAAUACAAACAAUGUUUCCUCCAAGGUUAGGCCUUCCACAGGAAAAUAUUUUUCCCCAUUGUUGUAACUAACCGUAUCUUACUUGAAAAGAUAAAUAACCGGACCUCGUGGGAACAAUAAGGCAUGAUGUUUGUACCAGUAAACAUAAGCUUCCAGCUUGCAAGUUUUUGGGAUGAGGAUGGCAUUAAGACCUAUUCUGAGGGCUGUAUCUGGGAAAUGUAGAUGCCCAGGGAAGGAGUAAUUCAGAGUAAAGAGUAAAGAGUUUCUUUUGCUAAUGGAAUACUGCACCGUGAAACAUUUACAGUAGAUGUCAUCAUAGAAGUGAUUCCAAGAUGUGUUUCUUAAAAUAUCUAUGACUCUUGAAAUGGUUUAGCUUCUGCAAAAAGAAGAAAUGUUGGAGAGUCUAGGUUUCUGAGAACAGUUUUUGGGCCACAGCUUCCACCUGAGAGAUUAUUAGAAAAAAGUAACCUGAAUUUCAUCUGGCUUUAGCCAGAUUUUCUACAGACUGUUCUUGAAGGUACAUCUGCAUUCAGGUUUUUUAUUUUAUUUUUGUGGGAUUCUUUAUGCUGUGUUUGCAUGAAAACAAAGGCUUUGGUAUUGGAGGUUGCAUUGAGAUAUGCUAAAGGUCAGUUGCCUAACCUUCCAGAUGAGAUUUCAUACUUUCUCCCUAAUGGAAUGAAUAAUCAUAAUGCCAUUUCCAUCUCUUUGUAGAAAGAAAAUUGCCGAGGGCCUGGUUCAAUUCCCUAAACUAAGUUUCAUAAAUAUUAUUUUAUUAUUUAUUCUGUUUAUGAAUGUUAUCUGUUUUUUAUGAAGCCAGAAUGGAUCUUUACUGAAUUAUUCCUAAAAUCUCAUCUUUUGGGGGAUGUAUGCUCCUUGGGCAGUCUACAUGAGAGCAUUAUGCUCUUGGAAAUAUGUAUUCCUUAAUAAAUUAAAUUACGUGAUUUAAAA